AGAUUUACCUCACACAUUCAUCAAGCUGUCAAUUUGUGAGUCCUUGCCAACCAGGGAGUGCACUUGACGGGCCAGUGUUUGUGGUGUGUCAGACAAGUGGGAGACAUGAGGAAGGAGAGGGCUGUGACGCUGUACCCGAGGAGGAGAAAUGCAAGAUGUCCGUGCUCAGCUGUGAGGAGGGGAAUGGCUUCAUUACACUAGGUGAAACUCAGCCCUUGCUAGUAGAAAGUCAGUAUUUACAAACCACUGUACGACGGGGAUCCAACCAUUUGACCUAACUGAGAACCAGAAUGUGACUGCAAUGUCCCAGAAGCUGCAAGUGCUCCAGCUGUUGUCUCAGUAUGAGCAAGGCUUUGCCUGCCAGCCUCCUGUCUAGUCCAUGUGAAAGUCUUGGAAGGGUAAUGCAGCAAGAGAGAAGAUGACUUCUGAGGGUGCACCUUACCAUAAGGACUGGAUGUUGCAGUUGGGGUGCAGCAGCCCUUCACAGAGGAGUUCAACACCUGCAUCUCCCAACUUGUUCUCACCCAUGUGCAGUACUUUCAAGUGCUUGUUGGUGCUGAGAGCAGAGCUGACAACCUUGCAGCAAGCAGUCGUGAGCCCGCACUCCCUAACCCUGCAAGGCAAAAGUGACAUGAGAUCUAGGUGGGAGAUCUAGAGAGUAUCAGGCACCGUUCGCUUCUCUACAUUUGCUUAACAGGAGCCCAGGCAGUGGGAACAGAGAAACCAGAGUUUUCCCAUAAUCACUGUACUCCCCUCAACCCCCAUAUGCUCCGUUCUUUCUAAGCAGCACCUCUCCCACUCUUAUAUGUGGGCUGUCUGUCUCAGAGCGUGCACCUACGAAAGGCACCUGCCCAUCAAGCACAGGGACAAUCAAAAAUGAAGCACACUGCUCUAAAAGUCACUCUUGGCUCCACCAUGCACUCCUGAGGUUGACUUCCAAGCCUCCAGUGUAGGGCAAGAACCCAGCUGGGGCAGGAGCUGAAUUUGCAAAGUAGAAAAGUUCAAGUGUUGCUUGUUCAGUUUCUGAGUGAAAGAACAAAUUUCCUCUCCUGGCCACCAGACCGUCCCAGACUAAAGGGUAACACAGUCAACAGGAUAGGAUGCUGAGAACUGUUUAUGUCACUACAGCUUCUUUUGGCUGAUCAGUGAGAGAGAUUAGAUCCAGUGGAGAACCUGAGAUAUAUGAUCACAGCACUCAAUUUGCUAUUACAAGAGGCCUUUCAAAUUUCAAAAGUCUCUCAGCUGACAUUUGUUGCACAAUAAAAUAUAUUAGAAGCUCUA